UGAUGUGAGGGCGAUCUGGCUGUGACAUCUGUCACCCCAUUGAUCACCAGGGUCGAUUCAGCUGAUCUGGCUGGCCAGGCAGGUGUCCCUGUCCUCCCUCACUGCUCCAGGUGCGUCCCUCCCUAAGCUGUGACCACCCCUAAUAAAGGAGGACCGUUUCCUUGGUCAAGGGUAUGAGCCGCUGCGCUCCUCUGUUAGAACCUCCAAACAAGCUCUCAAAAUGAAUUUACCAACUCCUCCUAGGAGGAUACUUCUCUAACACCUAAACUAUAUGAAAUACUUAGUCACAUGUAAGCUG
rnacentral:snRNA from 1 species